UAUUUAGCUGGAAGAACAUGCAUGGUUGACAACUGUCUUGGUAUCCUUUAUAAAAUCCCACAUGAUGCAACUGUGGUGCCUGAGCUCCAUUCAUACUUUGAUCAAUGAUGAAGAUGUGGAGUGGGGGGCUUUGUCACUAACUACCCAAAGUAAAGCUCAGUUAAGUGCCGGUUUUGACUUUUAAAGCUGCCUGGGUCCUGCUGAACUUGAAGGAAGGAAUGCCUCCCCUUUGAAUCUUAAGAUCAUUGGAUGAGGCCCUGCUUGGUAUGGUUCCACCAUCAGAGGCCUAGCAAUCGGCUCCAAGACCCUAAGCCUUUUGUAUACAGUAGUGGUGGCUUCCCUUUGGAACUUCACUCCUGACUCUUAGAAGCUUUAUUGUCUGCAGAAUCAGGCUGGACAGGAAUCCCACCAGUUUAGAUAGGCUACAGCUAUGCCUUCGGAAGACUGUCCCCACACCCAGCUUUUACAGUUAUGAUGUCUCCAGUGACUGCUAUCUGCUUGGCCUGGCUAAAACAUAACAAAAUGGCAAAUUUACAGUGUGAUGUAGCUGUCUGGUGUAGCUGACAGAGAGACCCAGUUUCAAAUCCCCACUUUGUGAUGAACCUCAACGAUGUGAUCUUCAGCCAGGCACUCUGUCUCAGCUUGCCAAUGUCACAGGGUCAUUGUGUGGAAAAAUGUGGAGGCGAGAAGAACCAUGAGUGCCAUCCAGAGCUCCUUGGAAGAAGGAUACAAAUGUAAUUAAUAAAAAGAUUUUGCUGAUUUUG